UUUUUAAAAGGUAUUGUAUUAAAGAGAAAAGAGUACAUGGAACAUUAGUACACGCCCAGGUUACACUUGUUGUUUUUUAUUCAAGCAAUAUCCAACAAUGGAUAAGCAUGUGAGCACCAGCACGCCUGCUAAAACCGACAAUACAAUUUUCAUCACGUUUCUCUCUUUCUUCCUACCUUGAGAGAUUCAUAUUGAUGUUAUCAGAGAAUGUUUGUGAUAUUACCUGCAGUAGCCAUGCCAGCAAGCCUUGGCCCUAGCGCUGCUUGCCCGGACCCCGUCAUCAUCUCAUCUUUUUCUAACGAGGAGGGGUCCUCCGUGGUGCGCUGAUGAUCAUCGGAGUAGUGAGGGGAGGCGGCAGCCCUCACUCCGACCGCCGACAAUUGGGUCUUCUACGGCCAUCCACGCAAGGUGGGAAACGAGAGGUGGUGGCCGACCGUGGUGCGGGUUCUGGUCUUUGGACC
rnacentral:lncRNA from 1 species